rnacentral:lncRNA from 1 species
UUUUUUUUGUUAUUGUGUGAUGUUUCGUUAGAAUAUUGUAAUAUUUGUUUUGAAUGUGAUGUUUUGUUGGAAUAUUAUAACUUUUUUGAUGAAUGUUGAUUUUGUUUGUGAAUGUGAUGUUAUUAUGAAUGUGAUUGUAAUAUUUUUGUGUUGUUUUUUUAUUUUGUUAUAUAUUAUAUAUUUUGGAUGUUUUGUUAUUAUGUUUUGUUGGUGGUUGAUGUCCUACUUAUUGUGAUAUAAAUUUUGAAUGAGUUUUUCGUGUAUCUAUUUAGCGUAUUCGUGUAUCUUUGUAUGUCCAAGUGAAAAUUUUGUAAUGUAGUUUACUACAAAUGUAAGGCAUAGAGUGUGGCUUGAAAAAUUUGAGUGAAUUUUUGUAAUGUACAACUCACAAACCAUGUAAGCUGAAGAUGAGGGUAAAAGAUGGGAGAUUCAACUUCUUGAAAUUGGAUUAAUAUUAAAUACAAGCAUGAAGAAAUUUCAGUAGCAAAGGUAUUAUUUAAAUUAGAAAUUGUUGUUUGAAUAAUAUUGUACUAAUGCGAAAUAAGUUUGAACAAAAUUUUGAAAAUAUUUUGCAGG